GAAAUGCGAUAAGUAGUGUGAAUUGCAGAAUUCAGUGAAUCAUCGAAUCUUUGAACGCACAUUUCGCCCCUUGGUAUUCCAUGGGGCAUGCCUGUUCGAGCGUCAUUUGUACCUUCAAGCUUUGCUUGGUGUUGGGUGUUUGUCUCGCCUCUGCGCGCAGACUCGCCUCAAAACAAUUGGCAGCCGGCGUAUUGAUUUCGGAGCGCAGUACAUCUCGCGCUUUGCACUCAUAACGACGACGUCCAAAAAGUACAUUUUUUACACUCUUGACCUCGGAUCAGGUAGGGAUACCCGCUGAACUUAAGC
rnacentral:misc_RNA from 1 species